CCUACGGGUGGCUGCAGUGGGGAAUAUUGGACAAUGGGGGGAACCCUGAUCCAGCCAUGCCGCGUGUGUGAAGAAGGCCCUCGGGUUGGAAAGCACUUUCAGUGAGGAAGAACGCCUGGUGGUUAAUACCCAUCAGGAAAGACAUCACUCACAGCAGAAGCACCGGCUAACUCCGUGCCAGCAGCCGCGGUAAUACGGAGGGUGCGAGCGUUAAUCGGAAUUACUGGGCGUAAAGCGCGCGUAGGUGGCUUGAUAAGCCGGUUGUGAAAGCCCCGGGCUCAACCUGGGAACGGCAUCCGGAACUGUCAAGCUAGAGUGCAGGAGAGGAAGGUAGAAUUCCCGGUGUAGCGGUGAAAUGCGUAGAGAUCGGGAGGAAUACCAGUGGCGAAGGCGGCCUUCUGGACUGACACUGACACUGAGGUGCGAAAGCGUGGGUAGCAAACAGGAUUAGAUACCCCGGUAGUC
rnacentral:rRNA from 1 species